rnacentral:lncRNA from 1 species
AUGGUGAAGGUCGGUGUGAACAGAUUUGACCGUAUUGGGUGCCUGAUUACCAGAACUGCCUUCUGCUCUAUACUGAGCAAAGUGGAGAUUGCUGCCAUCAAUGAUCCCUUCAUUGACAUCAACCACAUGGUCUACAUGUUCCAGUAUGACUCCACCCAUGGCAGAUUCAACUGCACAGUCAAGGCCGAGAAUGGGAAGCUUGUCAUCAAUGGGAAGCCCACCACCAUCUUCCAGGAGAGAGAUCCUGCUAAUAUCAAAUGAGAUGACGCUGGUGCUGAGUAUGUCAUGGAGUCUACUAGCAUCUUAACCACCAUGGAGAAGGCCGGGGCCCACUUGAAGAGUGGGGCCAAAAGGGUCAUCAUCUCCACCCCUUCUGCCGAUGCCCCCAUGUUCGAACCAUGAGAAAUAUGACAAUCACAAGAUUGUCAGCAAUGCAUCCUGCACCAGCAAUCGCUUAGCCCCCCUGGCCAAGGUCAUCCAUGACAACUUUGGCAUUGAGGAAGGUCUCAUGACCACGAUCCAUGCCAUCACUACCACUCAGAAGACUGUGGAUGGCCCCUCUGGAAAGCUGUGCCGUGAUGGCCAUGGGGCUGCGCAGAACAUUAUUCAUUGGUGCUGCCAAGGCUGUGGGCAAGGUCAUCCCAGAGCUGAACGGGAAGCUCACUGGCAUGGCCUUCCAUGUUCCUAACCCCUAAUGUAUUCAUUGUGGAUCUGACAUGCCACCUAGAGAAACCUGCCAAGUAUGAUGACGUCAAGAAGGUGGUGAAGCAGGCAUCUGAGGGCCUACUGAAGGGCAUCCUGGGCUACACUGAGGACCAGGUUGUCUCCUGCGACUUCAACAGCAAUUCCCACUCUUCCACCUUUGAUGCUGGGGCCGGCAUUGCUCUCAAUGACAACUUUGUGAAGCUCAUUUCCUGGUAUAACAAUGAAUACGGCUACAGCAACAGGGAGGUGGACCUCAUGGCCUACAUGGCCUCCAAGGAGCAA